AGCGAACGCUGGCGGCAGGCCUAACACAUGCAAGUCGAGCGGAUGAGUGGAGCUUGCUCCAUGAUUCAGCAGCGGACGGGUGAGUAAUGCCUAGGAAUCUGCCUGGUAGUGGGGGACAACGUUUCGAAAGGAACGCUAAUACCGCAUACGUCCUACGGGAGAAAGUGGGGGAUCUUCGGACCUCACGCUAUCAGAUGAGCCUAGGUCGGAUUAGCUAGUUGGUGAGGUAAAGGCUCACCAAGGCGACGAUCCGUAACUGGUCUGAGAGGAUGAUCAGUCAGACUGGAACUGAGACACGGUCCAGACUCCUACGGGAGGCAGCAGUGGGGAAUAUUGGACAAUGGGCGAAAGCCUGAUCCAGCCAUGCCGCGUGUGUGAAGAAGGUCUUCGGAUUGUAAAGCACUUUAAGUUGGGAGGAAGGGCAGUAAGUUAAUACCUUGCUGUUUUGACGUUACCAACAGAAUAAGCACCGGCUAACUUCGUGCCAGCAGCCGCAGUAAAAC
rnacentral:rRNA from 1 species